rnacentral:rRNA from 1 species
UACAGAGGGUGCGAGCGUUGUCCGGAAUCACUGGGCGUAAAGGGCGCGUAGGCGGCCUGGUAAGCGUGCGGUGAAAGCCCGGGGCUCAACUCCGGAAUUGCCUUUAAAACUGCAUCGCUAGAAUUGUGGAGAGGUAAGUGGAAUUCCGAGUGUAGAGGUGAAAUUCGUAGAUAUUCGGAAGAACACCAGUGGCGAAGGCGACUUACUGGACACAUAUUGACGCUGAGGUGCGAAAGCGUGGGGAGCAAACAGG